AGCGGGAUAGCUCAGUCGGUAGAGCGCCUGUCUCAUACGCAGGAUGCUGCGGGUUCGAGUCCCGCUCCGGCGACCA
rnacentral:tRNA from 1 species